GACGAACGCUGGCGGCGUGCUUAACACAUGCAAGUCGAACGGUAAGGCCCUUCGGGGUACACGAGUGGCGAACGGGUGAGUAACACGUGGGUGAUCUGCCCUGCACUUCGGGAUAAGCCUGGGAAACUGGGUCUAAUACCGGAUAGGACCACUGCCUGCAUGGGUGGUGGUGGAAAGCUUUUGCGGUGUGGGAUGGGCCCGCGGCCUAUCAGCUUGUUGGUGGGGUGAUGGCCUACCAAGGCGACGACGGGUAGCCGGCCUGAGAGGGUGACCGGCCACACUGGGACUGAGAUACGGCCCAGACUCCUACGGGAGGCAGCAGUGGGGAAUAUUGCACAAUGGGCGCAAGCCUGAUGCAGCGACGCCGCGUGAGGGAUGACGGCCUUCGGGUUGUAAACCUCUUUCAGCACCGACGAAGCGCAAGUGACGGUAGGUGCAAAAGAAGGACCGGCCAACUACGUGCCAGCAGCCGCCGUAA
rnacentral:rRNA from 1 species